rnacentral:rRNA from 1 species
CCUACGGGAGGCAGCAGUGAGGAAUAUUGGUCAAUGGGCGAGAGCCUGAACCAGCCACGUCGCGUGAGGGAGUACUGCCCUAUGGGUUGUAAACCUCUUUUGUCGGGGAGCAAAAGCCGGACGUGUCCGGCUGUGAGAGUACCCGAAGAAAACGCAUCGGCUAACUCCGUGCCAGCAGCCGCGGUGAUACGGAGGAUGCGAGCGUUAUCCGGAUUUAUUGGGGUUAAGGGGUGCGCAGGCGGAUUUUUAAGUCAGCGGUCAAAUCGUGGGGCUCAACCCCAUCCAGCCGUUGAAACUGGGGAUCUAGAGUGUGCGAGAGGUAUGCGGAAUGCGUGGUGUAGCGGUGAAAUGCAUAGAUAUCACGCAGAACCCCGAUUGCGAAGGCAGCAUACCGGUGCACAACUGACGCUCAGGCACGAAAGCGUGGGUAUCGAACAGGAUUAGAUACCCCUGUAGUC